UAUUGGACAAUGGGGGGAACCCUGAUCCAGCGACGCCGCGUGAGUGAAGAAGUAUCUCGGUAUGCAAAGCUCUAUCAGCAGGGAAGAAAGAAAUGACGGUACCUGAGUAAGAAGCCCCGGCUAACUACGUGCCAGCAGCCGCGGUAAUACGUAGGGGGCAAGCGUUAUCCGGAUUUACUGGGUGUAAAGGGAGCGUAGACGGCAGUGCAAGUCUGAAGUGAAAGGCAGGGGCUCAACCCUUGGACUGCUUUGGAAACUGUGCAGCUAGAGUGCAGGAGAGGUAAGUGGAAUUCCUAGUGUAGCGGUGAAAUGCGUAGAUAUUAGGAGGAACACCAGUGGCGAAGGCGGCUUACUGGACUGUAACUGACGUUGAGGCUCGAAAGCGUGGGGAGCAAACAGG
rnacentral:rRNA from 1 species